CCGGUAAACGGCGGCCGUAACUAUAACGGUCCUAAGGUAGCGAAAUUCCUUGUCGGGUAAGUUCCGACCUGCACGAAUGGCGUAAUGAUGGCCAGGCUGUCUCCACCCGAGACUCAGUGAAAUUGAACUCGCUGUGAAGAUGCAGUGUACCCGCGGCAAGACGGAAAGACCCCGUGAACCUUUACUAUAGCUUGACACUGAACAUUGAGCCUUGAUGUGUAGGAUAGGUGGGAGGCUUUGAAGUGUGGACGCCAGUCUGCAUGGAGCCGACCUUGAAAUACCACCCUUUAAUGUUUGAUGUUCUAACGUAGGCCCGUAAUCCGGGUUGCGGACAGUGUCUGGUGGGUAGUUUGACUGGGGCGGUCUCCUCCUAAAGAGUAACGGAGGAGCACGAAGGUUGGCUAAUCCUGGUCGGACAUCAGGAGGUUAGUGCAAUGGCAUAAGCCAGCUUGACUGCGAGCGUGACGGCGCGAGCAGGUGCGAAAGCAGGUCAUAGUGAUCCGGUGGUUCUGAAUGGAAGGGCCAUCGCUCAACGGAUAAAAGGUACUCCGGGGAUAACAGGCUGAUACCGCCCAAGAGUUCAUAUCGACGGCGGUGUUUGGCACCUCGAUGUCGGCUCAUCA
rnacentral:rRNA from 1 species